GGGUCAGGAGGCUGGUCGUGCCACCGGUACGUACUGGUCUCACUGAUUCCUCCUUCCUGAAGAACCGUAAUGCCAUUAAUUUGGUGUUGCGGGGAAACAGGACUGUUACUUUGAAAAAAUUAGAGUGUUUAAAGCAAGCUAACGCUUGAAUACAUUAGCAUGGAAUAAUGAAAUAGGACGAUCGAUCCUAUUUUGAUGGUUUCUAGGAUUGACGUA
rnacentral:rRNA from 1 species